rnacentral:rRNA from 1 species
CCCUUAGAUGUUCUGGGCUGCACGCGCGCUACACUGAUGCACUCAACGAGUUUACGACCUUGCCCGAUAGGGUUGGGUAAUCUUUUUAAAAUGCAUCGUGAUGGGGAUAGAUUAUUGCAAUUAUUAAUCUUCAACGAGGAAUUCCUAGUAAGCGCGAGUCAUCAGCUCGUGCUGAUUACGUCCCUGCCCUUUGUACACACCGCCCGUCGCUCCUACCGAUUGAGUGCUCAGGUGAAUAAUUCGGACCGCAGCAAUGUUUGGAUCCCGAACGUUGCAGCGGAAAGUUUAGUGAACCUUAUCACUUAGAGGAAGGAGAAGUCGUAACA